rnacentral:rRNA from 1 species
UACGAAGGGUGCAAGCGUUAAUCGGAAUUACUGGGCGUAAAGCGCACGUAGGUGGUUCGCUAAGUCAGCUGUGAAAUCCCCGGGCUCAACCUGGGAACUGCGUUUGUGACUGUAUGACUAGAGUACGGUAGAGAGGGGUGGAAUUCCUGGUGAUAGCGGUGAAUGACGCAGAUAUCAGGAGGAACACCGGUGGCGAAGGCGGGUCUCUGGGCCGAUACUGACGCUGAGGAGCGAAAGCGUGGGGAGCGAACAGG